rnacentral:rRNA from 1 species
CAUGCAAGUCGAGCGGUAGCACAGAGAGCUUGCUCUCGGGUGACGAGCGGCGGACGGGUGAGUAAUGUCUGGGAAACUGCCUGAUGGAGGGGGAUAACUACUGGAAACGGUAGCUAAUACCGCAUAACGUCGCAAGACCAAAGUGGGGGACCUUCGGGCCUCAUGCCAUCAGAUGUGCCCAGAUGGGAUUAGCUAGUAGGUGGGGUAACGGCUCACCUAGGCGACGAUCCCUAGCUGGUCUGAGAGGAUGACCAGCCACACUGGAACUGAGACACGGUCCAGACUCCUACGGGAGGCAGCAGUGGGGAAUAUUGCACAAUGGGCGCAAGCCUGAUGCAGCCAUGCCGCGUGUGUGAAGAAGGCCUUCGGGUUGUAAAGCACUUUCAGCGGGGAGGAAGGCGUUAAGGUUAAUAACCUUGUCGAUUGACGUUACCCGCAGAAGAAGCACCGGCUAACUCCGUGCCAGCAGCCGCGGUAAUACGGAGGGUGCAAGCGUUAAUCGGAAUUACUGGGCGUAAAGCGCACGCAGGCGGUCUGUCAAGUCGGAUGUGAAAUCCCCGGGCUCAACCUGGGAACUGCAUUCGAAACUGGCAGGCUAGAGUCUUGUAGAGGGGGGUAGAAUUCCAGGUGUAGCGGUGAAAUGCGUAGAGAUCUGGAGGAAUACCGGUGGCGAAGGCGGCCCCCUGGACAAAGACUGACGCUCAGGUGCGAAAGCGUGGGGAGCAAACAGGAUUAGAUACCCUGGUAGUCCACGCCGUAAACGAUGUCGAUUUGGAGGUUGUGCCCUUGAGGCGUGGCUUCCGGAGCUAACGCGUUAAAUCGACCGCCUGGGGAGUACGGCCGCAAGGUUAAAACUCAAAUGAAUUGACGGGGGCCCGCACAAGCGGUGGAGCAUGUGGUUUAAUUCGAUGCAACGCGAAGAACCUUACCUGGUCUUGACAUCCACAGAACUUUCCAGAGAUGGAUUGGUGCCUUCGGGAACUGUGAGACAGGUGCUGCAUGGCUGUCGUCAGCUCGUGUUGUGAAAUGUUGGGUUAAGUCCCGCAACGAGCGCAACCCUUAUCCUUUGUUGCCAGCGGUUAGGCCGGGAACUCAAAGGAGACUGCCAGUGAUAAACUGGAGGAAGGUGGGGAUGACGUCAAGUCAUCAUGGCCCUUACGACCAGGGCUACACACGUGCUACAAUGGCAUAUACAAAGAGAAGCGACCUCGCGAGAGCAAGCGGACCUCAUAAAGUAUGUCGUAGUCCGGAUUGGAGUCUGCAACUCGACUCCAUGAAGUCGGAAUCGCUAGUAAUCGUAGAUCAGAAUGCUACGGUGAAUACGUUCCCGGGCCUUGUACACACCGCCCGUCACACCAUGGGAGUGGGUUGCAAAAGAAGUAGGUAGCUUAACCUUCGGGAGGGCGCUACC